GAAACUCUUCUCCAUUGCAGUAUAGCACUCCAUAGGAUAAAAAGAAAACCUUCUCAAAUUAUCCUAAUUACAAAGAUUACUGAUUAUAUAGACAUAUAUUGAGAAACAUCUAACUAAUCAAACUGUGAGAACAACUGAUGCAGUAAACCGCAUCUCUCUUGCUUUUUCUUUCUUCUCCUCUAUCAGUCCCUCCCAACAUUAGGCAUGCUAUAUACACCACUGUUCAGCAUCCUCCAAGACAGAUUACGUGAGAUUUGAAAUGGAUCAUAGAUGACUAGCAUCCUUACCCUGAAAUGAACUCAUGACCUUUUCCCAUCUUUUCGAGGCAAUUUGCAUACUAAAACUAGCUUCUUUAUUAGAAGACACCAAAAUUAAGGUAACACUAGACCCUUAAUAUUAC
rnacentral:misc_RNA from 1 species